rnacentral:tRNA from 1 species
CCACUGGUGGUUCAGUGGGAGAAUUCUUGCUUUCCAUGCAGGAAACCCUGGUUCAAUUCCCGGCCAGUGCA